ACUGCAUGUAGGAGUUAGAAGUAGUUCUAGUUGAUAUUAAAAAGAGUUUUAAUCAAGCCGUAUGUUAAAUAAUACAACUGAGUAGCAAAUACCUGCCACUCUUUGAAAGACUAACCUCCAGCUAUUUUUUUUCCAGCUUUCCAAGGAUGAGUAACAAAUUCUUAAAGGCAAACAGCAUUUCAGACUUAUCACUUAAUCUGUUAGACAUCAUACAGUUUCAUGCAAGUGAAGAGUUGGUGCAUUUGUUUACUUAUUUAUGGUUUUACAUAACUUUAUGGUUUAUUUUUUACAUCUAUGGUUUUACAUAAAUAAAACCAGGGAGAGUAUCUGCUAUUUCCUUUUAUUUUCUCUCAUGAUAAGCACUUUCUGUGGUUUCUGAAUAGGUUUAUAUUUCUUCAAAUUUUUACUGAAUUCUACAACUUGUGCUGCAGCAGUCACUAAGAUCCUGUCUUGAAGCUAUCAGUAUCUGGAACAAACACAGGCCAGAUUUUAAAAGAGCUACUUAAAAUGAUUGUACAGUGUAGCCUCUGGAGUUAGCUGGCAAAUCUGGUUUGUUGCAAGACUUUGUUUAUUGCAUAUUGAUUUUAAUUAACAUGUUUAUUUUCAUUCCAUUGAGCUAGUGCAGGGGUGCAAAACAAAUGCAGCCUGGAAACUGCCUGGGGUUCCCAGCAUCCUUUCUAUGGACUUGAAAGCCCCUCCCAAGAGAGGGGAUCAUGGCCUGAUCCACUUUUGGAGUGCCACCUUGAUCUGGCCCCUUGAGCAAUGGAAGUUGCACAUUCUGCAGCUCAGGUAUUAAGGCUGCAGCUUUAUGCUCUCACAUUGAAGCCUUGGAGCAGUUUUGAGAAAGCUUGUUUAGAAUUGGAGUUGUAGCACAGAGGAUCCAAUUGCAGGCUUUUGUUUCAGUCUGACACCAUGGAAAUGGCCUCAAAGGCUGAAACAGUCUUCAGAGAGACCGAUACUGAAACCCUGAAUAUUGACCUGUAUGCAAAAGUAUCAUAAACCACCAGGUUUUUAUUGUAAGAAUAUACUCAUGAAGUUUGGCCACAGGGAGAGAUGUCUGGGAGUUAAAUUUAAUUUAUGUAGACUUCCGCUGAACAUUUUCAAGGUAACUGCUCAGAUAAGAUAAAUCAUAAAUUCAUCAUAAAAACUGAGUAAAUAAAUCACUAGGAUACUGCAUAGGCACUGUGGUGCCUGCAGGCAACACAUUUCAUUCCUGGCACAAUUCUGUGCUGCUCUAGUUUCCUAUCUCUAUGUCAGAGUUGGGAAGAGAGGGCUAAGUCAUAAAUCAAGUUGGGGUCAAGGUAAGUAAACUAAUAACAAACCUUGGUUAUGGUAAGGCCAGAGUUGAACUCUGCCCUACCUUGGACAUGUCUGAGUUUCAAGAUGUGAACAAUGCAGUUUGAGCACCAUUGACGUGAAUAAGUAUGACAUGCAGAUGCAGCCUGUAAAAGACUAGGAAGUGAUCCAGGGCAAAAUAUUGGGAGAAUAACAUGUUUUGUAUUUGAUAUAAAGUGAAAGACCGCAUAGCUCUGCAAUUAUUUUCUACAGUGACUCACAACUAUGCAAACUACUAUUACUACUACUAUAUUCUACAAAUGUAAUUUGUAAUUCCCAGAGCCAAAGAAAAUAUAUACCAGGACAUAUCAAAAUUACAGCUCUUUAUUACAAAGAAUAAAACACAUUACUCUCAAUUGGCAAUUUAAUCCAGGCAGGUAGAAAUCAACCCCUCUUUUUCAAACAGUCACAUUCCAUCUGAAUGAACAAGUGUGGACUUGUGAAUUUUCCAAAUUUCAAUUUGAUCUAUGGCUACUGUUUACUGCAACUCUAUUUGGAAACAGCAGAGUUCUGUUAUUCAUGCCUUGGGUACCCAGAUUAUUAUAUGACAAUGUAUGCAGGACUAUCAAAUAUUUCAGUUAGACAGGAGGCAGUAGCAUAGAACAUGGUAAGGGAUAGGCAUUUGGAUUUUUUACACCAAUUUGGCAUGAGUUGCAUUGAUUAUUUGGACUGUGUGUUGCUUCAGAAAUGAUUUGGAAAAGGUGCUUCAGAGUAUGAGGAAGCAUGAAUGUACUACCUAUUUACAACUCUUCAAAGCAGGUACGUAUUUUAUUAGGAUUUCAAUUGCUCUCCACUUUCCAUGCAAUAAGAUGCAGCUGCUUUAAAGAGUUCCACACUACAGUAAUGUAUGUUUGAGCUCCUGCAUGUUCCAGAGCAUGACAUACUCCCUGCAUGUAUUUGCUUCUAGAACCAAUACAAAGAGAUAAUCUUCCUAACCUGUAUUAGGAGAAGAUAACCUUUUUCAGUCUAGUGAUCACACAAUGGCAUCCUAUAAGCCAUGCUUUAAAAAA